GGGUUCAUACGUCGGUCGGGCUAUUUGGUCUGUACUUAUGUAGUGGAUUCCUACCUUCUGAAUAACCGGCAUGUCAUUAAUUUGGUGCGCUGGGGAAGCAGGACUGUUACCUUGAAAAAAUUAGAGUGCUUAAAGCAGGUUAUCGCCUGAAUACAUUAGCAUGGAAUAAUGAAAUAGGACGGCAUGGUUCUAUUUUGUUGGUUUCUAGAGUCGCCGUA
rnacentral:rRNA from 1 species